rnacentral:rRNA from 1 species
GACAGAGGGUGCAAACGUUGCUCGGAAUCACUGGGCGUAAAGCGCACGUAGGCGGCUUUCUAAGUCAGGGGUGAAAUCCUGGAGCUCAACUCCAGAACUGCCUUUGAUACUGGAAAGCUUGAGUUCGGGAGAGGUGAGUGGAACUGCGAGUGUAGAGGUGAAAUUCGUAGAUAUUCGCAAGAACACCAGUGGCGAAGGCGGCUCACUGGCCCGAUACUGACGCUGAGGUGCGAAAGCUAGGGGAGCAAACAGG